AAAACACUUACAGCAGCAGCAGCAAGGCAGUAAAAGAGCCACAAGACGACUGCAGUUUUUGGCUCCUCGGCCAGGUUUUACACAGUUUUCGUCGGUUCAUUAUAUCAUAAACUUUUUGUGGCUUUUACUGUUUUGCUGUCGACUGUUUAGAGCUUAUCAACAACGGAACCAAAAACACAACACAAUAAAGUGCUAGUCUUUCGAAAGUGCAUUUUCAGUUGACGACACAACGGAAGGCUUCAAUGGCUUUCAUGAAUGCUAGUGCUUAGCAAAUUAGCUUUGACCGUUAACACUUUCCGGCUAGCGAAAAACAUUGGGAGGGCAAAUAUUGGUUGUAAUUUGUGCAAAUGUUGGGUUAAUGUAUUCUGCAAUUAAGUACAUUUUGAGUUUUAGAGGUUUUGACGAUCAUUCGCAAAAAAGGUAUUUGUUUCGUGAAUUGAACAAUCAUCAGUUGUUUUACCACUUUUUAUCAGGAGCGAAUUAUAAUUACAGACGAGAGUACAUAAAUAUUUUUGUAUUCAAAUUCUUGUUACUUUUUUGUAUAUAUUUUUGUUUUUUUUCAUUAUUGCGAAUUUGUAAUUCAUACAGAAAAAUAAAUCUUUAUCGCAUGUGU